rnacentral:rRNA from 2 species
AGAGUUUGAUCCUGGCUCAGGACGAACGCUGGCGGCGUGCUUAACACAUGCAAGUCGAACGAUGAUGCCCAGCUUGCUGGGUGGAUUAGUGGCGAACGGGUGAGUAACACGUGAGUAACCUGCCCCUGACUCUGGGAUAAGCGUUGGAAACGACGUCUAAUACUGGAUAUGAUCACUGGCCGCAUGGUCUGGUGGUGGAAAGAUUUUUUGGUUGGGGAUGGACUCGCGGCCUAUCAGCUUGUUGGUGAGGUAAUGGCUCACCAAGGCGACGACGGGUAGCCGGCCUGAGAGGGUGACCGGCCACACUGGGACUGAGACACGGCCCAGACUCCUACGGGAGGCAGCAGUGGGGAAUAUUGCACAAUGGGCGAAAGCCUGAUGCAGCAACGCCGCGUGAGGGAUGACGGCCUUCGGGUUGUAAACCUCUUUUAGUAGGGAAGAAGCGAAAGUGACGGUACCUGCAGAAAAAGCACCGGCUAACUACGUGCCAGCAGCCGCGGUAAUACGUAGGGUGCAAGCGUUGUCCGGAAUUAUUGGGCGUAAAGAGCUCGUAGGCGGUUUGUCGCGUCUGCUGUGAAAUCCCGAGGCUCAACCUCGGGCUUGCAGUGGGUACGGGCAGACUAGAGUGCGGUAGGGGAGAUUGGAAUUCCUGGUGUAGCGGUGGAAUGCGCAGAUAUCAGGAGGAACACCGAUGGCGAAGGCAGAUCUCUGGGCCGUAACUGACGCUGAGGAGCGAAAGCAUGGGGAGCGAACAGGAUUAGAUACCCUGGUAGUCCAUGCCGUAAACGUUGGGCGCUAGAUGUAGGGACCUUUCCACGGUUUCUGUGUCGUAGCUAACGCAUUAAGCGCCCCGCCUGGGGAGUACGGCCGCAAGGCUAAAACUCAAAGGAAUUGACGGGGGCCCGCACAAGCGGCGGAGCAUGCGGAUUAAUUCGAUGCAACGCGAAGAACCUUACCAAGGCUUGACAUACACCGGAAACGGCCAGAGAUGGUCGCCCCCUUGUGGUCGGUGUACAGGUGGUGCAUGGUUGUCGUCAGCUCGUGUCGUGAGAUGUUGGGUUAAGUCCCGCAACGAGCGCAACCCUCGUUCUAUGUUGCCAGCGGGUUAUGCCGGGGACUCAUAGGAGACUGCCGGGGUCAACUCGGAGGAAGGUGGGGAUGACGUCAAAUCAUCAUGCCCCUUAUGUCUUGGGCUUCACGCAUGCUACAAUGGCCGGUACAAAGGGCUGCGAUACCGUAAGGUGGAGCGAAUCCCAAAAAGCCGGUCUCAGUUCGGAUUGAGGUCUGCAACUCGACCUCAUGAAGUCGGAGUCGCUAGUAAUCGCAGAUCAGCAACGCUGCGGUGAAUACGUUCCCGGGCCUUGUACACACCGCCCGUCAAGUCAUGAAAGUCGGUAACACCCGAAGCCGGUGGCCUAACCCUUGUGGAAGGAGCCGUCGAAGGUGGGAUCGGUGAUUAGGACUAAGUCGUAACAAGGUAGCCGUACCGGAAGGUGCGGCUG